GGAGACAUUUUUCGGAGAAAAAGAAUCCAAAACGAAAUGAUAAAGAAAUACGAGGACAGAAAUGCUAUUACCGCGGAACUAGCUGCGUCUAACUGCAAUACGCUCAUCAUUUGCCCUCCGCCGCCGACGAGAAGAGGCCCUCCGCCGCCGCUGUUCCUCCGGCCUCAUGGCGACACUGAGGCCCCGAAUCCGCGCCGUCCCCCUCCGCCCGUUGCUCCUCUUCCUCCUUGUCCCGCUCAUCUACUCCGGCUGCACCCGUGGUCUCCGGAGAAGGGCGUGUGCCUGCCACCUCCCACGGCGCCGAAGCGGCCUGACCACCUCGUGCUCGGCCCCGCCGCCGGACAGGGCCGCCACGACCGCCUCCAGUGCCACGGACUUAAAGCUCUGAAUAAUAUUGGCAUAUCAAGUGACAGGAACUAUUCUGGAGAACAUAUUUCUUUUGUUACUGUAUUCACAACCUACGGUUCUGUCCCAGAUGGAGAUGGCAAAGUUCCAUCUGACACUGUAACUGUUGGAAACCAUUCUUAUAGCAAGAUCGAGAGGUCCAUGGCCAUUUUGAACACUUUCACCAAUUUCAUAAAGGUAUCAAUGCCAAGAAGCAAUGUGAUCAUAUUGACUGAUCCUGAUUCAAAAUUUUCAGUAAGUCAAGGGAGCGCUACACUAAUGCCUAUUGAAGGAAAUUAUUCUCGGGGAAAUUUGAUGCUUCAAAGAAUCAAGUCCUACAUUGCAUUUCUGGAGCAAAAGCUUGUGGAAUUUGAUAGGGUGGAAGGGUUCAAUCAUUUUGUUUUAACUGAUUCUGAUAUAGCAGUGGUUGACGAUCUUGGACAUAUAUUCAAAAAAUAUCCCCAUUGUCAUCUGGCUCUUACCUUUCGUAACAACAAAGGUCAACCCUUGAACUCUGGGUUUGUUGCGAUAAGAGGCACGAGGGAUGGCAUCACUAAAGCAGUGGCAUUCUUCAAACAAGUCCUUGAAGCUUACAACUUAAAAUAUAUGAAGGCUUCUCGAAUGCUUGGUGACCAAUUAGCAUUGGCAUGGGUUGUGAAAUCUCAUCUACCAUCGGCUUUAAGAAAAUUUUCUAAGCAUGAAGCAUUUACAGGUGAAGUUAAUGGAGCAUCUGUUCUCUUCUUGCCUUGUGCUGUUUAUAACUGGACUCCACCUGAGGGUGCUGGACAGUUUCAUGGUUGUCCAUUUCAAAGGUUCAAGGAAACGUUUGAUGCUUGAGGCAUGGAAUUUCUACAACUCAACCUCUAAAUUAUCUGAUAUGAUGUGCCUAAUCUUGAGAAGUGGAAGGACAAAAUAUGACUUCUAAAGUUUGGUUCAAAUUUAACACGUGAAUUAACACACAUGUUGAUCCUAGUAUCCUGCUGAAAGGCGGUGUUGUAUGUUCCUCAACUAGUAUGUGCAGUCCACACAGAACCAUACACAAAUCGUUGAGCAUGACACUGACAAAAGUGAUUCUCAAGUCACCGCAAGAACUCAUAUCGGAGUACAAUGAAAGAGUAUGAUUCUGAAUGUAACGAUGAUAUGUUCAUCUACUUGCAGGGGAUGUAAAAUUGGCGUGAAACUGUGGAUUGCCCCUUGGGACCCAUACCAGCGGAACUGUACGCAGUAGUACGCUAAAGCUAUAGCAGCCAGCAGGAUGACCAUGUAGGAGUCACCUUUGUUCUUUGGUGCAUUCCUGUCUGUAGAACAUGUACCAUAUGGUUUCCCGCUUCCCCCUCACUAUACACAAUAUCUUACUAGGUGAUUUUCACCAUUGGAAGUUA